GACGAACGCUGGCGGCGUGCUUAACACAUGCAAGUCGAACGGAAAGGCCCUGCUUUUGUGGGGUGCUCGAGUGGCGAACGGGUGAGUAACACGUGAGUAACCUGCCCUUGACUUUGGGAUAACUUCAGGAAACUGGGGAUAAUACCGGAUAGGAGCUACUGCUGCAUGGUGGGGGUUGGAAAGUUUCGGCGGUUGGGGAUGGACUCGCGGCUUAUCAGCUUGUUGGUGGGGUAGUGGCUUACCAAGGCUUUGACGGGUAGCCGGCAUGAGAGGGUGAACGGGCACAAUGGGACUGAGAUACGGCCCAGACUCCUACGGGAGGCAGCGGUGGGAAGUAUUGCACAAUGGGCUGAAGCCUGAUGCAGCAACGCCGCGUGCGGGAAGACGGCUUUCGGGUUGUAAACCGCUGUCGCCGGUGACGAAGCGUGAGUGACGGUAAUGGGUAAAGAAGCACCAGCUAACUACGUG
rnacentral:rRNA from 1 species